rnacentral:rRNA from 1 species
UACAGAGGUCUCAAGCGUUGUUCGGAUUCAUUGGGCGUAAAGGGCGCGUAGGCGGCUUGACAAGUCAAAGGUGAAAUCCCUCGGCUCAACUGAAGAACUGCCUUUGAAACUGUCAGGCUUGAGGCCGGGAGGGGGUAGCGGAAUUCCCAGUGUAGCGGUGAAAUGCGUAGAUAUUGGGAGGAACACCAGUGGCGAAGGCGGCUACCUGGACCGGUACUGACGCUGAUGCGCGAAAGCGUGGGGAGCGAACAGG